GGCUAUUUCAACAUCACGUUCCUGAACUCAGGAAAAUCUGUAUAAUGGCACUUUCCCAUAAAAGAAUGAAGUCAUGGCUUUGGGUGAUAUUGGAGAAAACAUAAAUAUCAGAUGAUGAACACAUAGGACUGAAUGAAUGGCCAAAUGAUUGGGAGAACUCAAGACAAGUCUUAUAACAAGUGGUCACAGCCAGAAGACAACCUCUUAGCAGAUCACAAGAAUGGUGCCUGCCUCCAAGUCUGAGGACCAGAGUUCUCUCAUCAAGACCCAUAUAAUGGCAGAAGAGAUCUGACUCAGAAAGUCGUCAUUUGGCAUCUACAUGUAUUCCAAUGAACACAUAUCCAGCAUUCAUUCAUUCACUCAUUCAUUCAUUCAUUCUCUCUCACACACACAUACAUACACAAUUUAUAUAUACAUACAUGCAUAUAUACAUACACAUACAUAUAUACAU